ACAGGGAAUCGAAUGGACCGUAUCUGAGGCCCCACAGCAACAUCCGUGAGUCUAUUUGGAGUCACAGAUACACAACUUGAAGAGGGAACCUGAGAUGCAGUUAAUCCUGAAUCAAGAAUUGAAUUCAAAAUGAACUACGCUAAUCUACAGAAACACAAGAGGAACUAAAUCCAAGUAUGAAACUUAAGCACUCAACUGAGCCCCGAACUGAAAUCAGGAUUCUGAGAACCAAUCAUUAAGGGGAAAUUCCAGAGAAGCUGGAAAGCACAGCGAGAAUGAAACAGCCAUCACCAGCCAAGUCUAGGGAAACAACGCCCAAAACGAAAAAAAAAAUAACCCAGUCUCUUGAUCUUUUGUCGUGGUGGUUUGGGGUUUUCGUUAUCGUUGCUUGCUUAUUUUUGUUUGUUUGUUUAACUUUUUCUCAUCAUCUCAUGAUCUUUUUAUUCUCCUGUGUUAGGACCACCAUCCUAUAUUCUUUGUACCCAUCAUCUGCAUAUCGUAUCUGUAUUUUCUUCUAUUAUGCUUCCCAUUUGAGUUUUUUGCUUUGUUUUGUAUCGAUUUGUGUUGGUUGGUUGCUUGCUCACUUGCUUGAUUUUUGAGAAAGUCUUGUAGUCCAGACCAGCCUAGAACUCUCUGGAUGACUAUGGACUGAUCCUCCGGUCUUCAUCACCCAAGGGCUGGGAUUACAUCUGUACAGCCACCCAGGAUGCUCCCAUUCUUGUGUGUCGCAUACUCUACUUUCUUUCUCUAGCUCCUGGCUGGCUGAUCAGUUAGUUGGUCCGGGAUUUUGUUGUUGUUGUUGUUCCUUUUUAAAUUUUUCCCUUUCUCUAUCUUUUCAUUUCCGACCCAAAACAGAUGUUUAUACUCCUAUGAAAUAAAAUUUGCUGUUUCUUAUUAGCAUCAUCCAGUGCCAUAAUGUGCAUCGUUCAUCAUAGUGGGGA